rnacentral:rRNA from 1 species
GUCUACGGCCAUGCCACCCUGAACAAGCCCGAUCUUGUCUGAUCUCAGAAGCUAAGUAGGGUUGGGCCUGGUUAGUACUUGGAUGGGAGACCACCUAGGAAGACCAGGUGCUGUAGUCG